rnacentral:rRNA from 1 species
UACGUAGGGCGCAAGCGUUAUCCGGAAUUAUUGGGCGUAAAGAGCUCGUAGGCGGUUUGUCGCGUCUGCCGUGAAAGUUCGGGGCUCAACUCCGGAUCUGCGGUGGGUACGGGCAGACUAGAGUGUUGCAGGGGAGACUGGAAUUCCUGGUGUAGCGGUGAAAUGCGCAGAUAUCAGGAGGAACACCGGUGGCGAAGGCGGGUCUCUGGGCAACAACUGACGCUGAGGAGCGAAAGCGUGGGGAGCGAACAGG